rnacentral:ncRNA from 2 species
AAGGGCGCGGAUGCGACAGGUUCCCAGAAAUGGGAUGAAAAGGGAACCCGGAAGCGCGUGCAUUACGCGCCAUCCGGGGCUGCCCCCGCAACUGUGACCGGCGAGCCCUGCUCCUCCGUGCGCCACUGGACCCCAGGUCCGGGAAGGCCGGGCAAGGCGAUGACCCGCGAGCCAGGAGACCUGCCCGUCGCGGUUGUCCUUC